rnacentral:rRNA from 1 species
UACGUAGGCAGCAAGCGUUGUUCGGAGUUACUGGGCGUAAAGCGCGCGUAGGCGGACCUGCAAGUCGGGGGUGAAAGCCCGAGGCUCAACCUCGGAACUGCCUUCGAUACUGCGGGUCUCGAGUCCGGGAGAGGUGAGUGGAAUUCCUAGUGUAGAGGUGAAAUUCGUAGAUAUUAGGAAGAACACCAGUGGCGAAGGCGGCUCACUGGCCCGGUACUGACGCUGAGGCGCGAAAGCGUGGGGAGCAAACAGGG